rnacentral:lncRNA from 1 species
AACUACAAUGAUUUUCUUUAUCAAACAGAUGUUAUUAGUCCCAUUUUCAUUGCUCUAUUCCUUUAAUAAGUUGUUGACACAAACAUCUAUGCCAGAAAAGGAAUUGUAAACUAAGGGCCUGUCAGGUAUGUACAUACAAUUGACAAAGCCUGUGAAUAUGUUUGCCACAAAAUGCCUUCUACCGCAGCUGAAGGAGAGUUUGCAUCAGCACCCCUAACUUUCACGGGAAAAAAAAAUCUAGGCUGAAUGUGGCCUUGAACACAGCUAAUUAAAAAAAUGUCCCUUCUUCUAUCAUAUUUAGUGCAUCUUUGCUAUCUCAACUGCAUAUGAGCUCCAAAGCUGUUCCUUUUUUAAAUUCUGUAUUAAUAGCAUUUCAUUGCUUAACUACUUCAGUUCACAAGCAUAACCUGGAGUUUCCUCAUCCCUUGAAAUCUAUUAAGAUAAGUGUAAACCCUAUCCUGUGCCCAUGUAUAAAUAACAUUUGCUAAUGUUUAUGAAAAUUGUCAAAGGUUUAUGUUCAAAUGGCCAAAUUCUGGUUCCAGGUUCUUUGCACACAUGCUAUACAACCCAUUCACAAAUCUGAAGCUUAUACUUAGUUUCUGCUAAAAUUAUAUCAUUCAUGUAAGAUGCUGGAUGAAGAAGAUCUAUAAAGACUUCAGUGGGGGUGACUGAGAAAGAUUUAUGUUGAAGCAACGCCAGCAACUUCCAGUCAGACAUUGACAACCAUGGUCUUUAAAAUCCUUUUGCCUCUCAUGCUAUUUGGGGCUUUUCUUUUGCACUUUGUUCCAUAGAGUGCCCAUCCUUCAACCAUCAUACUUGGUACUUCCUAUCCCCACACCAUUUUCUUGAGUCUUUUUUUCCCUCUAAUUCAAUCCCUUGAAUAGUGUUAGUUUGCUAAAGGAGACAUUUCAUCUCUUAUGUCAUAGUAUUUUCAUAUCUUGCAUCACAGUGUGAUCUAAAGUCCUUAGUCAGCAAAGGUCAUUAAAUUCCCUAGAAAGUGUUAGUCUUGCUUUCUGUGUUAAAAGGCACACAAACAAGUUUGAUCUUUCCAGUGGCAUUGUGAUGUGUCACUGAGAUCCCCUUUCAGGACUGAUGAACCUCUUCCCUGGGUAGUGAUAAUAUUGUUGCUGUGAGCCCUCAGCUACCGGCCUUCUUCAGAAAUUGGCUCAGGUGGAGAUAGUCUCCUUGCCCAAGGUCAUGGUCCCAUUCUAGGAGUAGUACCCAACUAAUGACUGAUCCACCUGGAGGCAUAAAGGCCUUGGUUCCUUGCUUAAACUCAGAAAGUUUGACAGCCCUAUCAGCCUCAGAGCUCCCUGUGGGAUCAGCUGACUGAGCUGAGGUCUUUGUUGUAACUAUGUUGUGGCUUAACCUUUCCCCUCCUCCAUCCUG